AUCCACAAAGUUGGCAGCAGUGGCGCUAACAAAAAGGCAGUUCCGGGAAAAAAUCAGGCAAGGUGGUUGGAAAAGUGCAACCGGUGGUGAAGUCGCUGAAAAACGGCAACAUAUUGCCGCAUCAUUAUCGGUUUGCCGCAGUUUUCUCCACCACAGGGCCCGAAAAUAUUCUGCUCCGCCAACAAGAGCCAGCAACUUUGUCGCCAGCACGCGAAGCGUGAAUUUCGUCCGGUCAUAUCACUCUCGGAACCACAGAUUUCGCUUGGCGGCAGAGGCAAAAAGAAAAUCCGCCACCACCAAAAGCGGACACGAGGUGAUCGCUGGGGAAAAUUUAAACCAGCUAAAGAAAAAGGCCGUAAGAGUGAG